UAAGCGGAGSMRRAGARACUAACAAGGAUUCCCCUAGUAACUGCGAGUGAAGCGGGAAAAGCUCAAAUUUAAAAUCUGGCAGUCUUUGAUUGUCCGAGUUGUAAUCUAGAGAAGUAAUGCCCGCGCUGGACCAUGUACAAGUCUCCUGGAAUGGAGCGUCACAGAGGGUGAGAAUCCCGUCUUUGACAUGGACUACCAGGGCUUUGUGGUAUGCUCUCAAAGAGUCGAGUUGUUUGGGAAUGCAGCUCAAAAUGGGUGGUAAAUUCCAUCUAAAGCUAAAUAUUGGCGAGAGACCGAUAGCGAACAAGUACCGUGAGGGAAAGAUGAAAAGAACUUUGGAAAGAGAGUUAAACAGUACGUGAAAUUGCUGAAAGGGAAACGCUUGAAGUCAGUCGCGUUGGCCAGGAAUCAGCCUCACCUUGGUGUGGUGUACUUUCUGGUUGAUGGGUCAGCAUCAAUUUCGACUGCUGGAAAAUGACUUGGGGAAUGUGGCAGCUUUGGCUGUGUUAUAGCCUCAUGUCGCACACAGCAGUUGGGAUUGAGGAACUCAGCACGCCCAUUGGGCCGGGUUUCGACCACGUUCGUGCUUAGGAUGCUGGCAUAAUGGCUUUAAGCGACCCGUCUUGAAACACGGACCAAGGAGUCUAACAUGCCUGCGAGUGUUUGGGUGGUAAACCCAAGCGCGUAAUGAAAGUGAAAGUUGAGAUCCCUGUCGUGGGGAGCAUCGACGCCCGGACCAGAACUUUUGGGACGGAUCCGCGGUAGAGCAUGUAUGUUGGGACCCGAAAGAUGGUGAACUAUGCCUGAAUAGGGUGAAGCCAGAGGAAACUCUGGUGGAGGCUCGUAGCGAUUCUGACGUGCAAAUCGAUCGUCAAAUUUGGGUAUAGGGGCGAAAGACUAAUCGAACCAUCUAG
rnacentral:rRNA from 1 species